AGCGGCGGACGGGUGAGUAAUGCUUGGGAAUAUGCCUUAUGGUGGGGGACAACAGUUGGAAACGACUGCUAAUACCGCAUAAUGUCUACGGACCAAAGUGGGGGACCUUCGGGCCUCACGCCAUAAGAUUAGCCCAAGUGGGAUUAGCUAGUCGGUGAGGUAAUGGCUCACCAAGGCGACGAUCCCUAGCUGGUUUGAGAGGAUGAUCAGCCACACUGGGACUGAGACACGGCCCAGACUCCUACGGGAGGCAGCAGUGGGGAAUAUUGCACAAUGGGCGCAAGCCUGAUGCAGCCAUGCCGCGUGUGUGAAGAAGGCCUUCGGGUUGUAAAGCACUUUCAGUAAGGAGGAAAGGUUAAGUGUUAAUAGCGCUUAGCUGUGACGUUACUUACAGAAGAAGCACCGGCUAACUCCGUGCCAGCAGCCGCGGUAAUACGGAGGGUGCGAGCGU
rnacentral:rRNA from 1 species